CCUACGGGUGGCAGCAGUCGAGAAUCAUUCACAAUGGGGGAAACCCUGAUGGUGCGACGCCGCGUGGGGGAAUGAAGGUCUUCGGAUUGUAAACCCUUGUCAUGUGGGAGCAAAUUAAAAAGAUAGUACCAAAAGAGGAAGAGACGGCUAACUCUGGGCCAGCAGCCGCGGUAAUACAGAGGUCUCAAGCGUUGUCCGGAAUCACUGGGCGUAAAGCGUGCGUAGGCUGUUUCGUAAGUCGUGUGUGAAAGGCGCGGGCCCAACCCGCGGACUGCACAGGAUACUGCGAGACUCGAGUAAUGGAGAGGGAGCCGGAAGUCUCGGUGUAGCAGUGAAAUGCGUAGAUAUCGGGAGGAACACUCGUGGCGAAGGCGGGUUCCUGGACAUUAACUGACGCUGAGGCACGAAGGCCAGGGGAGCGAAAAGGAUUAGAUACCCCUGUAGUC
rnacentral:rRNA from 1 species